rnacentral:misc_RNA from 1 species
AGAGUUAAAUAGUACGUGAAAUUGUUGAAAAGGAAACGAUUGAAGUCAGUCAUGCCGGCGGGAAUCAACUUAGGGGAAACUUUAAGUGCACUUCACAUUUGGUAGGUCAGCGUCGAUUUUGGAUGUCAUAAAAUGAUUGGGGGAAGGUAGCUCCUUCGAGAGUAUUAUAGCCCUUGAUAGAUGUGAUGUCUGGGAUCGAGGAUUGCAACGGAUAUCCUUUGGGCUAACCACCUGAUCUCUAACUGGUGUUGGGUUACAGACAGCAUGCUGACCGUGAUUUAAUUAUUGGUUAAAAGGUUAGAGCGAGUGUAAAUUUGUUAAGGACGCUGACGUAAUGGCUUUAAACGA